AGUUUGAUCAUGGCUCAGGAUGAACGCUGGCGGCGUGCCUAAUACAUGCAAGUCGAGCGAACCACUUCGGUGGUGAGCGGCGAACGGGUGAGUAACACGUAGGUGAUCUGCCCAUCAGACGGGGACAACGAUUGGAAACGAUCGCUAAUACCGGAUAGGACGAAAGUUUAAAGGUGCUUCUGGCACCGCUGAUGGAUGAGCCUGCGGCGCAUUAGCUAGUUGGUAGGGUAAAGGCCUACCAAGGCGACGAUGCGUAGCCGACCUGAGAGGGUGAACGGCCACACUGGGACUGAGACACGGCCCAGACUCCUACGGGAGGCAGCAGUAGGGAAUCUUCGGCAAUGGGCGAAAGCCUGACCGAGCAACGCCGCGUGAAUGAUGAAGGCCUUCGGGUUGUAAAAUUCUGUUAUAAGGGAAGAACGACUUUAGUAGGAAAUGGCUAGAGUGUGACGGUACCUUAUGAGAAAGCCACGGCUAACUACGUG
rnacentral:rRNA from 1 species